UGCAAGUCGAACGCGAAAGUGGAGCAAUCCAUGAGUAGAGUGGCAAACGGGUGAGUAACACGUGGGUGACCUGCCUUCGAGUGGGGGAUAACGUCCCGAAAGGGACGCUAAUACCGCAUAACAUGCUGUCUUUUAAGAGAGAGACAUCAAAGCCGGGGACCGCAAGGCCUGGCGCUUGAAGAGGGGCCCGCGCCUGAUUAGCUAGUUGGUGGGGUAAUGGCUCACCAAGGCAACGAUCAGUAUCCGGCCUGAGAGGGCGGACGGACACACUGGGACUGAGACACGGCCCAGACUCCUACGGGAGGCAGCAGUGGGGAAUUGUUCGCAAUGGGCGCAAGCCUGACGACGCAACGCCGCGUGGAGGAUGAAGACCUUCGGGUCGUAAACUCCUUUCGAUCGAGACGAAUGGCCUCUGGGCUAACAUCCCGGAGGAGUGACGGUACCGAGAGAAGAAGCCCCGGCUAACUCCGUGCCAGCAGCCGCGGUAAUACGGGGGGGGCAAGCGUUGUUCGGAAUUACUGGGCGUAAAGGGCUCGUAGGCGGCCAACUAAGUCAUGCGUGAAAUCCCUCGGCUUAACCGGGGAACUGCGUCUGAUACUGGAUGGCUUGAGUUCGGGAGAGGGAUGCGGAAUUCCAGGUGUAGCGGUGAAAUGCGUAGAUAUCUGGAGGAACACCGGUGGCGAAGGCGGCAUCCUGGACCGAUACUGACGCUGAGGAGCGAAAGCCAGGGGAGCAAACGGGAUUAGAUACCCCGGUAGUCCUGGCCCUAAACGAUGAAUGCUUGGUGUGGCGGGUAUCGAUCCCUGCCGUGCCGAAGCUAACGCAUUAAGCAUUCCGCCUGGGGAGUACGGUCGCAAGGCUG
rnacentral:rRNA from 1 species